GCACAAGGUCCUCAAGGGCAACCGGGUCGCAUGGGUGAUGAUGGGCAAAGAGGGCCCAUUGGACUCCCUGGAACAUUGGGAGAGAAAGGCGACAGAGUAGGUUAAACCAAAGCUUCAUCAGCCAUAAAGCUGCAAAUUGCAGGGUCCUCCUGGUUUCAAUGGUAUCCCUGGACCUACUGGUCCACCUGGAGCUCCUGGUGUCGAGGGGAUUCGUGGGCGUCAGGGGUUGGAAGGGCCUAAGGGUGAUGAUGGAGCUGUGGGACCUAAAGGAGAGCAGGGUCCUCAAGGGGAAAAAGGUGAUGUUGGAGUACCUGGAAAAAAUGGUGUUGAUGGACUUCCUGGAAUUGAUGGUGACAAGGGAGAGGCUGGUAUUCCUGGAGCUGUUGGAAUCAGGGGCAUUGUGGGUAUUCCAGGGCUGCCUGGGAAGCAGGGAGUAGUCGGACCCCCUGGUGAAAAGGGAGAUACUGGUGCUGAAGGAGCCAUGGGACCAGUUGGACUGCCAGGAAAAACAGUGAGAUUACCCCAUUAGUCUCCUUUCUCAUUAGAAUUAAUUUUUGUUACAGCAUGUGAUCAUGUGCUAAAAAUAUUCAGAGG
rnacentral:lncRNA from 1 species